rnacentral:rRNA from 1 species
UACGAAGGUCCCAAGCGUUAUCCGGAUUUAUUGGGUUUAAAGGGUGCGUAGGCGGGUUAUUAAGUCAGUGGUGAAAGCCUCCAGCUUAACUGAAGAACUGCCAUUGAUACUGAUGAUCUUGAGUAUGAUUGAGGUUGGCGGAAUGUGUCAUGUAGCGGUGAAAUGCUUAGAUAUGACACAGAACACCGAUUGCGAAGGCAGCUAACUAAGUCAUAACUGACGCUGAUGCACGAAAGCGUGGGGAGCAAACAGG